rnacentral:lncRNA from 1 species
CCUGGGCAGUGGUUGCAUCGUCUAACCUGGGAGGUCCUUGAGGAAUGCCUCUCAGUGCCUCAGGCCCCUCUCCCUGUCCUGGCAGGGGUGACCCGUGAGAAGCCCAGUGGGCUUACAGUGCAAGAGAGAAAAGAUGCAAAAUAUCGAGUUACUUCUUUAACGUGUGCCAAACAGAAAAACGCAGCCUGGUGCAGCAAAAAUCCAGGUCCUCUCAGACGCCCAGCGGCAGGUCGACCUUCCCGGGGCUCAGAUUCAACGG